GGAGGUCCCUGAGCCCCGCCGCAGCCUCGGGCAUCUCGCCCCGUGCCCCGGCCCCUCCGUCACUGCAGGGUGCUCGGGGGCACAGCGGGCAAGGGGAACGUGUCUGCUCUCUGCUUGCUUCCAGGUGACGAUGCGCUCGGCAGCGCUUCCCCAGCUCCUCAGCUGGGUCCUGGAGUGGAGCUCCAGGGGCAGCCCAGCGGCCGUGCUGUUCCAGCUGCCCCGUGGAAUCCUGCUCCUGAGCCUGGGUGGCACCCCACAGGUGAUUUGUCCGGGACAUCCGAGCAUGGUCCUGUCCUCGUGCCCCAGGGCGAUCCCCCAAGUAAGUCAGCGGGAGGGAGGAGCGAGCAUUGCCCUUGUUGUUUGCUGCCCGCGUGCAAUGGACCUUCAGCCUUCCUUGGCCUCAGCCGCGCAGGAGAGCAGAGAGGGAAGGGCUCAGGCUCGGUGACACGCCUGGGGCGCUUUGCCUUGCCAAGCUGUCUUUGCCAGCCGCUCCGCCCCCAUGCGUGCUGCAGAGCCAGCGGGCACGGUGGGCUUGAGUUUCGAGCCUGGGCUGAGCUCUGGGGAGGCCCUUCUCUGGGCAGCUGCACGCACGCUUCGUUCGUUUUGUCCCGGCACGCUGGCACUGCAGGCCCCUGCUGCCUGUUUGCAAGAGGCUCCUGGGCGGGAGGGAGAGCCCAGGGCCGUGCAGCAAUCCCCUGUGGGAGCUGCGCGAUGGGAAGAAGCAUCCCGCCCUGUUUGGUGGGAGCUGCUCUGUUCUGUGUUUGCUUGCAGGUGUGGCUGUAGGC